rnacentral:rRNA from 1 species
CCUACGUGAGGCUGCAGUGAGGAAUAUUGGUCAAUGGGCGCGAGCCUGAACCAGCCAAGUAGCGUGAAGGAUGACUGCCCUACGGGUUGUAAACUUCUUUUAUAAAGGAAUAAAGUGAGGCACGUGUGCCUCUUUGUAUGUACUUUAUGAAUAAGGAUCGGCUAACUCCGUGCCAGCAGCCGCGGUAAUACGGAGGAUCCGAGCGUUAUCCGGAUUUAUUGGGUUUAAAGGGAGCGUAGAGGGGUUGUUAAGUCAGUUGUGAAAGUUUGCGGCUGAACCGUAAAAUUGCAAGUGAUACUGGCAGUCUUGAGUACAGUUGAGGUAGGCGGAAUUCGUGGUGUAGCGGUGAAAUGCUUCGAUAUCACGAAGAACUCCGAUUGCGGAGGCAGCUUACUAAACUGCCACUGACAUUGAUGCUCGAAAGUGUGGGUAUCAAACAGGAUUAGAUACCCUUGUAGGC